rnacentral:rRNA from 1 species
UUUGGCGGACGGGUGAGUAAUACAUCGGAAUCUACUCUGUCGUGGGGGAUAACGUAGGGAAACUUACGCUAAUACCGCAUACGACCUACGGGUGAAAGCAGGGGAUCUUCGGACCUUGCGCGAUUGAAUGAGCCGAUGUCGGAUUAGCUAGUUGGCGGGGUAAAGGCCCACCAAGGCGACGAUCCGUAGCUGGUCUGAGAGGAUGAUCAGCCACACUGGAACUGAGACACGGUCCAGCCUCCUACGGGAGGCAGCAGUGGGGAAUAUUGGACAAUGGGCGCAAGCCUGAUCCAGCCAUACCGCGUGGGUGAAGAAGGCCUUCGGGUUGUAAAGCCCUUUUGUUGGGAAAGAAAUCCAGCUGGCUAAUACCCGGUUGGGAUGACGGUACCCAAAGAAUAAGCACCGGCUAACUUCGUGCCAGCAGCCGCGG